rnacentral:rRNA from 1 species
GAUGCAACGCGAAAAACCUUACCUACCCUUGACAUGCCAGGAACUUACCAGAGAUGGUUUGGUGCUCGAAAGAGAGCCUGGACACAGGUGCUGCAUGGCUGUCGUCAGCUCGUGUCGUGAGAUGUUGGGUUAAGUCCCGCAACGAGCGCAACCCUUGUCGUUAAUUGCCAUCAUUAAGUUGGGCACUUUAGCGACACUGCCGGUGACAAACCGGAGGAAGGUGGGGAUGACGUCAAGUCCUCAUGGCCCUUAUGGGUAGGGCUUCACACGUCAUACAAUGGUCGGUACAGAGGGUUGCCAAGCCGCGAGGUGGAGCCAAUCCCAGAAAGCCGAUCGUAGUCCGGAUUGGAGUCUGCAACUCGACUCCAU